rnacentral:SRP_RNA from 10 species
GUAGGGUGCUGUGGAGUGUGCCUGUAGUUCCAGCUACUGAAGAGGCUGAACCAGAAGGAUUGCUUGAGUCCAGGAGUUUAGCACACUAAGACUCUAGCGCACCAGGACUCUAGUGCACUAAGCUGAUUGAGUGUCCACACUAAGUUUGGCAUCAAUAUGGUGACCUAGGAGAAGGGGACCACAGUUUGCCUAAGGAGAGGUGAACAGGCCCAAGUCAGAAACCAAGCAGGUCAAAACUCCCAUGCUGAUUAGUAGUGGGAUCAGGCCUGUGGACAGCCACUGGGCUCCAGCCUGGGCAACAUAGUGAGACUCUGUCU